UAGACUUUCAGUCCGCGUGGCCCGUGUGUAUAUUAUGAUCGAUAAUAUUCUGUCUGCGUGUAGGGAUUUUUGAAUGGUGUGAAAUAUCGCUGUUGACGUUAAAUUAUAUUUCUAGUGAUAUUUUAGUCGUUUUCAAUUAACAUACUCAAUUGACCGACGGUAGAAAAGUCGAUUUUACAGAAAUUAUGCAUUUAAACGUGUAAUACGUAAACAGUUUACGAACUAUUUGUUGCUACCGCUGAACAUUACAUCUGUUUGUAAAGAAGAGCUCAGGUCCACAUCACUUGGAGCCGAGUGACUGCAUAGAGGAGUUGAUAAAAUCAACUCCCAAAAAUUCUGUUCGUUUUUGAUUUUUGAUACUCCUUGAGUGACGAAUGGCAUGCCGAACGAUGGUCAGGUGUUCCAACGGUCCGAGAAAACCAACAAAACUACAGCGACACAGAGUUUUCCAAGAGCUAAGUAUACAGAUAUGGGAAACAUUGUGAUUACUGGUGAUUUUAACGCAAGAACCGGAUCUCUACUAGACUACAUAGAAGAGUAUUCUGGUCCAAGCUGAGAUAGAUGGGCAAUAUUACAUUUUGUGAUUUCAAUGACAGUGGAAUCCAACCAGAGUCUGUAUGAAAUAAUCUUCAAAACCAUGUUAGUUUUAAAGAUUUGAUAAAGAGCUUGAUAUUCGUCAUUCUAAGACCACCAUCCUCUAUUGAAAGUUACAUUGUUUUUCUUGAAAUUUUUUCUGUUUUGUUGUUCCAUAUAAAGUUAUUAAAAAAAAAUUCCAA